UACAGAGACUGCAAGCGUUAUUCGGAUUCACUGGGCGUAAAGGGUGCGCAGGUGGCCGAGUGUGCUAGGCGUGAAAGCCCGGGGCUUAACCCCGGAAUUGCACCUAAAACUACUUGGCUAGAGCAUUGGAGAGGGGAGCAGAAUUCAUGGUGUAGCAGUGAAAUGCGUAGAUAUCAUGAGGAAUACCAGAGGCGAAGGCGGCUCCCUGGACAAUAGCUGACACUCAGGCACGAAAGCGUGGGGAGCAAAAGGG
rnacentral:rRNA from 1 species